GCAAGCGUUGUUCGGAAUUACUGGGCGUAAAGGGCUCGUAGGCGGCCAACUAAGUCAGACGUGAAAUCCCCAGGCUCAACCUGGGAACUGCGUCUGAUACUGGUUGGCUUGAAUCCGGGAGAGGGAUGCAGAAUUCCAGGUGUAGCGGUGAAAUGCGUAGAUAUCUGGAGGAAUACCGGUGGCGAAGGCGGCAUCCUGGACCGGCAUUGACGCUGAGGAGCGAAAGCUAGGGGAGCAAACGGG
rnacentral:rRNA from 1 species